UACGGAGGGAGCUAGCGUUGUUCGGAAUUACUGGGCGUAAAGCGCGCGUAGGCGGCUUUGUAAGUUAGAGGUGAAAGCCCGGGGCUCAACCCCGGAAUUGCCUUUAAGACUGCAUCGCUUGAAUCCGGGAGAGGUGAGUGGAAUUCCGAGUGUAGAGGUGAAAUUCGUAGAUAUUCGCAAGAACACCAGUGGCGAAGGCGGCUGACUGGUCCGGUUCUGACGCUGAGGCGCGAAAGCGUGGGGAGCAAACAGG
rnacentral:rRNA from 1 species